rnacentral:rRNA from 1 species
UACAGAGGCCCCGAGCGUUAUCCGGAAUUAUUGGGCGUAAAGGGUGUGUAGGUGGCGUUGUUAGUCGUUUGUGAAAUAUCCGAGCUUAACUUGGAAAACGCGAACGAAACGGCAAUGCUUGAGUAUGUGAGAGGUAAGCGGAACUCAUGGUGUAGGGGUGAAAUCCGUUGAUAUCAUGGGGAACACCAAAAGCGAAGGCAGCUUACUGGCACAGCACUGACACUGAAACACGAAAGCGUGGGUAGCGAAU